rnacentral:rRNA from 1 species
AUGAACCCUACCUCGGCCCCGGGUCCUGACGGCCUCCGGGUUAAAUUCUUCCAGACCUUCUGGAAUGUGAUUAAACCUGAGAUCAUGACCAUCUUCGACGAGUUCUACGUUGGGUCCAUAGACCUUGGUCGCCUCAACUAUGGGAUCAUUUCGCUCAUCCCUAAAGUGCCUGGGGCCUCCGACAUCCGCCAGUUCCGGCCAAUCACGGUGAUCAAUGUGAUUUUCUGGAUUCUGGCAAAGGGGUACGCCAAUAGGGUGACCCUGCUUGCAGACCGCAUUACCCACCCCAACCAGUUCGUCUUCAUUCAAGGGCGGUAUAUCCUGGAUGGGGUGCUAGUCCUUCAUGAAGUUCUCCAUGAGGUUUAG